rnacentral:rRNA from 1 species
AUUGAACGCUGGCGGCAUGCUUUACACAUGCAAGUCGAACGGUAACAGGUCAAGCUGACGAGUGGCGAACGGGUGAGUAAUGCAUCGGAACGUGCCCGGUCGUGGGGGAUAACGCAGCGAAAGCUGCGCUAAUACCGCAUUCGAUCUGAGGAUGAAAGCGGGGGACCGUAAGGCCUCGCGCGAUCGGAGCGGCCGAUGUCAGAUUAGGUAGUUGGUGGGGUAAAGGCUCACCAAGCCAACGAUCUGUAGCUGGUCUGAGAGGACGACCAGCCACACUGGGACUGAGACACGGCCCAGACUCCUACGGGAGGCAGCAGUGGGGAAUUUUGGACAAUGGGCGAAAGCCUGAUCCAGCAAUGCCGCGUGCAGGAAGAAGGCCUUCGGGUUGUAAACUGCUUUUGUACGGAGCGAAAAGGUCUCCUCUAAUACAGGGGGCUCAUGACGGUACCGUAAGAAUAAGCACCGGCUAACUACGUGCCAGCAGCCGCCGCAGUAA